UGGACGUGUGUUCUGUGUUUAAUCGUCAGUUCCUGUUUCCUGUUCUGUGCUCCUAGUUUCACCUUUGCUCAUCUUCGUUACUCUACUUCCGCCUUUUGGAGUUUUGGAUCUUGAACUUUCCUUCCUGCCGUUCAGAGCCUGUCUGCAUUUUUAAUCAAACAUUUUUUCUUUGCUGCACUUCCUGCUAAAUCCAUAAUCUGCAUUUUGAGUCCUGCAAACGUUAAACCCUAAACAGAAAGUGUCCUGCUGGGCUCCUGAGAGCCAUUCUGCAAAACCAGACGAUGCGGUUGGGGAAGCCCUGUCUGCAGAUACGGAUUCCCUCCAGCACACCGUUACACCUCAGCUGGUCCAGAACCAGCGGACAAAGUUGGGGUUGGUGUUCCUCAGCGUGGCCAUGAGCUUGGACAGCUGCUCCUUGUACAGCUGGCCCACCGUGCGGAACAUGCCCUUCUUGGUUUUGUACGCGGCACCGAACGCCGUCUCGUUCAUCCCGG